rnacentral:rRNA from 1 species
AGAGUUUGAUCCUGGCUCAGAUUGAACGCUGGCGGCAGGCUUAACACAUGCAAGUCGAGCGGGGGAGAUUGCUUCGGUGAUUGACCUAGCGGCGGACGGGUGAGUAAUACUUAGGAAUCUGCCUAUUAAUGGGGGACAACAUCUCGAAAGGGAUGCUAAUACCGCAUACGCCCUACGGGGGAAAGCAGGGGAUCACUUGUGACCUUGCGUUAAUAGAUGAGCCUAAGUCGGAUUAGCUAGUUGGUGGGGUAAAGGCCUACCAAGGCGACGAUCUGUAGCGGGUCUGAGAGGAUGAUCCGCCACACUGGGACUGAGACACGGCCCAGACUCCUACGGGAGGCAGCAGUGGGGAAUAUUGGACAAUGGGGGGAACCCUGAUCCAGCCAUGCCGCGUGUGUGAAGAAGGCCUUAUGGUUGUAAAGCACUUUAAGCGAGGAGGAGGCUCUCUUGGUUAAUACCCAAGAAGAGUGGACGUUACUCGCAGAAUAAGCACCGGCUAACUCUGUGCCAGCAGCCGCGGUAAUACAGAGGGUGCGAGCGUUAAUCGGAUUUACUGGGCGUAAAGCGUGCGUAGGCGGCUUUUUAAGUCGGAUGUGAAAUCCCCGAGCUUAACUUGGGAAUUGCAUUCGAUACUGGGAAGCUAGAGUAUGGGAGAGGAUGGUAGAAUUCCAGGUGUAGCGGUGAAAUGCGUAGAGAUCUGGAGGAAUACCGAUGGCGAAGGCAGCCAUCUGGCCUAAUACUGUCGCUGAGGUACGAAAGCAUGGGGAGCAAACAGGAUUAGAUACCCUGGUAGUCC